CCUACGGGGUGCAGCAGUGGGGAAUAUUGCACAAUGGGGGAAACCCUGAUGCAGCGACGCCGCGUGUGGGAAGACGGUCUUCUGGAUUGUAAACCACUGUCCCCAGGGACGAAAAUGACGGUACCUGGGGAGGAAGCUCCGGCUAACUACGUACCAGCAGCCGCGGUAAUACGUAGGGAGCAAGCGUUGUCCGGAAUUACUGGGUGUAAAGGGAGCGUAGGCGGGGAUGCAAGUUGGGUGUCAAAACUACCGGCUCAACCGAUAGUCGCACUCAAAACUGCAACUCUUGAGUGAAGUAGAGGCAGGCGGAAUUCCUAGUGUAGCGGUGAAAUGCGUAGAUAUUAGGAGGAACACCAGUGGCGAAGGCGGCCUGCUGGGCUUUUACUGACGCUGAGGCUCGAAAGUGUGGGGAGCAAACAGGAUUAGAUACCCUAGUAGUC
rnacentral:rRNA from 1 species